rnacentral:tRNA from 1 species
UUAUAAAACAAUAGUCUAAUUCCAUAAUGAAAAUAUAAUCUUUUUUCUAAACUCUAUAAAUAGAAAU